GCGAAAACUUUGCAAUGCGAGCAAUCGUGACAAGGGAACUCCGAGUGCCUGUAAAAUCGGGCUGUCCGCCAGUGUAAAUAACUGGCGAAGAAAGGGCCGGGCAAGACCGGUGCCAGCCGCCGCGGUAAUACCGGCGGCUCGAGUGGUGGCCACUAUUACUGGGCUUAAAGCGUUCGUAGCUGGCCUGUUAAGUCUCUGGGGAAAUCUUCAGGCUCAACCGGAAGGCGUCUCAGGGAUACUGGCAGGCUAGGGACCGGAAGAGGUGAGAGGUACUCCAGGGGUAGGAGUGAAAUCCUGUAAUCCUUGGGGGACCACCUAUGGCGAAGGCGUCUCACCAGGACGGCUCCGACAGUGAGGAACGAAAGCUGGGGGAGCAAGCC
rnacentral:rRNA from 1 species